rnacentral:rRNA from 1 species
AGUGAAUAGAUACCCGGGUAGUCCCAGCUGUAAACGAUGCGCGUUAGGUGUAUCGGUGACCACGAGUCACCGAGGUGCCGAAAGAGAAAUCGUGAAACGUGCCGCCUGGGAAGUACGGUCGCAAGGCUGAAACUUAAAGGAAUUGGCGGGGGAGCACCACAACGGGUGGAGCCUGCAGUUUAAUCGGACUCAACGCCGGGAAACCUCACCGGACAAGACAGCUGAAUGAUUGCCGGGCUGAAGACUCUGCAUGACUAGCUGAGAGGAGGUGCAUGGCCGUCGUCAGUUCGUACUGUGAAGCAUCCUGUUAAGUCAGGCAACGAGCGAGACCCACGCCAACAGUUGCCAGCUCGUCCUCCGGGAUGGAGGGGACACUGUUGGACCGGCCUCUGCUAAAGAGGAGGAAGGAAUGGGCAACGGUAGGUCAGCAUGCCCCGAAUUGUCCGGGCUACACGCGGGCUACAAUGGGUGGGACAAUGGGUAUCGACGCCGAAAGGUGAAGGCAAUCUCCUAAACCCGACUCUU